rnacentral:rRNA from 1 species
CACGACUACAUUAGAUACCCCUGUAGUCCCAGCCGUAAACUAUGCGCGUUAGGUGUAUCGGUGACCACGAGUUACCGAGGUGCCGAAGGGAAACCGUGAAACGUGCCGCCUGGGAAGUACGGUCGCAAGGCUGAAACUUAAAGGAAUUGCGGGGAGCACCACAACAGGUGGAGCCUGCGGUUUAAUUGGACUCAACGCCGGGAAGCUCACCGGAUAGGACAGCAGAAUGAUUGCCGGGCUGAAGACCCUGCAUGACUAGCUG